UAUAAGGUGCAAUAGAUGAUU
ensembl:piRNA 21ur-4913 ncRNA